AAUGAACGUUGGCGGCGUGGAUUAGGCAUGCAAGUCGUGCGGAAAGGCUCCUUCGGGAGUACUCGAGCGGCGAAAGGGAGAGUAACGCGUGGAUAUCUACCCCCUGGCCUGGGAUAGUGGCGGGAAACUGCCGGUAAUACCAGAUAAUAUCUGCGGAUCAAAGGUGUGAUUCCGCCGGGGGAUGAGUCCGCGUCCUAUUAGCUAGUUGGUGAGGUAACGGCCCACCAAGGCUGAGAUGGGUACCGGGUGUGAGAGCAUGGCCCGGCUCACUGGGACUGAGACACUGCCCAGACACCUACGGGUGGCUGCAGUCGAGAAUCUUCGGCAAUGGGCGCAAGCCUGACCGAGCGACGCCGCGUGCGGGAUGAAGGCCUUCGGGUUGUAAACCGCUGUCAGAGGGGAGGAAAUGCAUGGGGGUUCUCCCUCAUGUUUGACCUAUCCUCAGAGGAAGUACGGGCUAAGUUCGUGCCAGCAGCCGCAGUAA
rnacentral:rRNA from 1 species